UACACUGGUCCGCCACCUCCGUAUCUCCAUAGAAACUGUUUCAGAAGGCCCCUCCGACCUCACGUCCUCUCUGACCUUUCAGCAAUCCAUCACUAUCACUGUGGGGGAGUUUGCAGGAGUCCUUCCCGACUAUCACAAGCCAGAUAUACUGGGGCUCAUCAACUCUUAUGUACUUGUAGCCUAAGGGGGUCUUGAUAGCGGAGCCACCACUGGACUGUCUGUACAUCCUCUGGCACCUCAGGACACUCAAAACAGCCCCAUGUUGACUACCUCCCUGGUCAAGUGUUUGAGGGCGGUGGCUGACACCUGUCACGCAUCAGUGCUAGAGCCGGCGUUCCCAGGGCAACUGUUUGCCUCCCUCGUUCAAUUGCUCCUCAUACGAGAGCCCAACACACAGCUGGAUGUGGCCCUACUCUGGCAUCGUCUCGUACAAUACCAUGCCAACAAGGACAAGAUUCCUCUCAACACGUAUGUGGAUGUGUGUGUGUGUGUGUGUACCUUGCUAUGUUCAGUGUGCAUUUGAGGCACACUAUAUUUUAUUUGUUAGUUACACAGGUCCAUAUGAGCUUUUGUCUUAGCUUUCACUACAUGUAUGUCAUGUGCAGUGCAUACAGCUACAUGUACGUGUAUUUAUACCCUCCCCUUGUGCAGUGAUUGGGUGAGUCUGGAGGGUGUGGUUUAGAAAGGAUUCCUCUCUAAAACAGUCAACUCUCUCUUCACCAAUCUCCUGGAACUGGCCAAAACUCUCUGCACUAGCCCUGCUAACACACUCGCUUUCUACCAACUCGUAUUUCUCCUGACACUGGAAUUCUCUUAUCAAAGGCUCUCAGAUAUACUGGUCUUCCUAUACCAGCUGCAAGAGCUUGCUGUGAAGGAGAAAAGUCUUGAGGCACAUCACAGAGUGGUGCUACAUGCUACAGUGGCAGGUGUGCUGUAUCUAGCGUCCAAGAUUAGUCGAAACGAGGUACUCAAGACGCACAUCGAUGGAGUGAUUGCUAAGAGGAAGGAGACAGCUCCGAAGGCUAUUGUGGGACAUUCUUCUAGAAGGAAGUGCAGUCAUCUAGACAUGGAGGAGAAGCUGCUCAAGAGAUAUCAAAUCAUGGACCCGGGUGUCAUGGCUGAGCUGGAGUGAAAAUUGGAACUAUGCAGAUAUGAGUAAUUUUAAAUUAGCAAGCACACAAACUCAAAGUGGGAGAAUACCGUUAAAUUUCAUUGCUAGAUUUUCAGUAGUUGAGUGUACAUGCACGUCACUAUUGUAUGUCGAGUAUUCUCCACCUGGCAGCAACUUAUUGAUGUUCCCCUGAGUGAGACCAUUCGAUGUCUAGAGGAUGACCUGCUGAGGGAGUUGGAGGAGAAGCUGCUCGAGAGGUCUCAAAUCAUGGACCCAGGUGU